CAUAUAUUUUUCUUAGAAUUUUUUUCCAAUUUUUAAUGUUUAAGAAAUACUGCAUUUAUUCUCCACAGACAGAUAAAUAAUUAAAAUAAUCUUACCCGAAACUUAUCUGUGUCUCAAAAAUUUAAAAAAUUUAUGAGGAAACCUCUGGAAGUUGAAUCAUCUCCCAAGCUCACCGGAGCCACCGCUAGAACCACCGUGCACGGUAGCCGGUUGCUGGCGACACUUGCCGGAUCUAAUCAUACGAUCAUGUUCAUCUUCUCUCCCUCAGUCUAUAGGUGGUCUUGGAUCGUCAAUUCAACGAUCGGAUAGUCCUAGAUCUGACCCAAAAGAUUGAAAAACCAAAAACUUAUCUCCUCUAUAUCUCACUCAUCCGACCUCUAUUUGCUGCAAAAUUAGUAUCAAAAGAAAACUCUGGGAAUAAGCUUUUCCAACGCCACCUGAAUCGCCU
rnacentral:misc_RNA from 1 species